rnacentral:misc_RNA from 1 species
GUAGGUGAGCCUGCGGAAGGAUCAUUAAAAAUGAAGCCGGGAAACCGGUCCUUCUAACCCUUGAUUAUCAUAAUUUGUUGCUUUGGUGGGCCGCGCAAGCACUGGCUCUGGCUAGUUAGUGCCCACCAGAGAACCACAACUCUGUAAUAAAAUGUCGUCUGAGUACUAUAAAAUAGUUAAAACUUUCAACAACGGAUCUCUUGGUUCUG